AUAAAUUAUUAUUUUUCAAAAAAAAAAAUCUGUUCUUAUCAGUUUAAUAUCUGAUACGUCCCCCAURGGGGGACUACAUAUUAAAUGGAUUUUUUGAACAGGGAGUCGGAAAUAGGGCUUGCUCCGUCCGCUCCACGCAUCGACCCGGUAUUGCAGUACCUCCGGGAACGGUGCAACACUU
rnacentral:snRNA from 1 species